UUGAGGUUUGAAGCCAAACAGGCGAUUAGAAUGUCAUCGUUUUCUUUCACUACUCCAUAUUAUUCCUCUCUACAAAUCGUUCUUUCCGAUCGCAGCUUCAACCAAGCAACCACAUCCGUCCUUCUAAAUCGGAAUCUCUUUCCGAUUUCAUCAAAAUUUUUGAGAAUUUCUUCACGCAGACACAGGUUUCACGCAAACUCUGUUCGCUCAGGUGCUGAAACUGAAGAACCUCGAGCUCAGCAUUCGCCCGAAAGUAAUGCAGUUUCGAGCAAUGGAAGCAAGCUUUCUACAAGCUUUCUAUCUUAUCUCUGUCCUUUGCUCAAUACUUUCGCUGUUGGAGAUCCUUCGAGAGAGAGGAAUUUUACUUUGGAGGUAGCCACAUCUUCCUUAUCUACACUGGCAAGGCUUCCAUGGGGAUCAAGAACAUUGUCGGAUAGUUCUCAAAGCAAUAGGAAUAUUAAUUUGGAGCCUCUGUUGCCUUUGCAACUCUAUGAAUUUGAGGCAUGCCCCUUUUGCAGGAGGGUUCGAGAGGCCUUAACUGAAUUGGAUCUUUUAGUAGAGGUGUAUCCUUGUCCUAAGGGUUCCAUUAGACAUCGGGACAUAGUUAAGAAAUGUGGUGGCAAAGAGCAGUUUCCUUUUCUUAUUGAUCCAAAUACCAGUACUUCAAUGUAUGAAAGUGGUGAUAUCGUGAAAUACCUCUUUCAUCAGUAUGGAAAUGGUAGAAACCCCUCAACAGGGCUUUUAGAAAGUACAUUGUUUACGGGGUGGAUGCCAACAAUUCUUAGGGCUGGUAGAGGAAUGACAUUGUGGGGAAAGGCCUCGACAGACCCACCGCCAAAAAAGUUGGAACUUUUCUCAUACGAAAACAAUCCGUAUGCUCGAAUUGUGCGCGAGGCAUUAUGUGAGUUGGAGCUUCCUUACAUCCUUCAUAACGUGGGAGAAGGAUCUCUACGGACAAAGCUACUUCUUGACGUUUCCGGAUCAAAAGAGGUACCCUACUUUAUCGAUCCCAAUACUGAUAUUGAAACUGGUAACUACAAGCAGAUAUUGUCUCAUAUAUUCCAGACGUAUUCUGCAGCUACCUUAUAGUCUUGACGUCUGAUACCAUUAAAUUUCUUACCCGUGAAGCAACAGAAGACUUUGUUAAGCAUGCUUUUAAGGAUGUAGGAUACUCUUUUAUAAACUAAGAGCUUAGAUGCUAGAUGGACCAAUAUCUCCAAUCAGAUCCCCUAUCAACCAAGGAAUUAUGAGGGUGAAAAUAUAGAGGCGAGGCAUACUUGCUUCUAAUAUUA